rnacentral:rRNA from 1 species
UUAGAGUUUGAUCCUAGCUCAGGAUGAACGCUGGCGGCGUGGAUAAGGCAUGCAAGUCGAACGGAUUUUUCAAAAUCGGAGAUGAGAUUAUAUCAAGUCAAAGGUCGUGAAAAAUUAGUGGCGAACGAGGUAGUAAUACAUAGGAACUUCCCCUUUAGUCGUGAAUAAUCCGUCGAAAGACGGACUAAUACACGAUGGUCUCAAAGAUAAUUUCAGCGAGUAAAGUUUUAACGCUAGAGGAAAGGCCUGUGCGAUAUCAGCUAGUUGGCAGUGUAAAAGACUACCAAGGCUAUGACGUCUAGGGGAGCUGAGAGGCUGACCCCCACCGAUGGUACUGAGACACGGACCAUACACCUACGGGUGGCUGCAGUCGAGAAUCUUCCACAAUGGACGAAAG